rnacentral:rRNA from 1 species
GACCGCUGGCGGCGCGUUUUAAGCAUGCAAGUCGAGCGGCAAGGGCCUUCGGGCCCUAGAGCGGCGGACGGGUGAGUAACACGUGGACAAUCUCGCCCCCCGGCCCGGGAUAGCCCAGGGAAACCUGGAUUAAUACCGGAUGAGACGGGACCCGCGAUGGCGGGAUCCGGGAAAGGCGCUGCGGCGCCGCCGGGGGAUGAGUCUGCGUCCCAUUAGCUAGACGGCGGGGUAACGGCCCACCGUGGCGACGAUGGGUAGCCGGCCUGAGAGGGUGGACGGCCACAUUGGAACUGAGACACGGUCCAGACUCCUACGGGAGGCAGCAGCUAAGAAUCUUCCGCAAUGGGCGAAAGCCUGACGGAGCCGACGCCGCGUGAACGAAGAAGGCCGUGAGGUUGUAAAGUUCUUUUCGGGAGGGGGAACAACCGUGGCAGGGAAUGGCCGCGGGAUGACGUGAAUCCCGGAAUAAGCCCCGGCUAACUACGUGCCAGCCGCUGC